rnacentral:sRNA from 1 species
UGCACGCCUGAGCGAUUGCAGCGGCAUCCUUUUUCUUUGUAAGCCUGAAGAAUGAAGGUUUGCAAAGAAAAAGAUAUAGCGGAAAGCGCGACCUGCU